rnacentral:rRNA from 1 species
GAUGAACGCUGGCGGCGUGCCUAAUACAUGCAAGUCGAGCGAACAGAUGAGGAGCUUGCUCCUCUGACGUUAGCGGCGGACGGGUGAGUAACACGUGGAUAACCUACCUAUAAGACUGGGAUAACUUCGGGAAACCGGAGCUAAUACCGGAUAAUAUAUUGAACCGCAUGGUUCAAUAGUGAAAGACGGUUUUGCUGUCACUUAUAGAUGGAUCCGCGCCGCAUUAGCUAGUUGGUAAGGUAACGGCUUACCAAGGCGACGAUGCGUAGCCGACCUGAGAGGGUGAUCGGCCACACUGGAACUGAGACACGGUCCAGACUCCUACGGGAGGCAGCAGUAGGGAAUCUUCCGCAAUGGGCGAAAGCUUGACGGAGCAACGCCGCGUGAGUGAUGAAGGUCUUCGGAUCUUAAAACUCUGUUAUUAGGGAAGAACAAAUGUGUAAGUAACUAUGCACGUCUUGACGGUACCUAAUCAGAAAGCCACGGCUAACUACGUG